rnacentral:rRNA from 1 species
AUGCAUGCUCUUAGGGAUAUUUUGAUCAAGUAUGAAGAAGCUCCUGGUCAAACAGUUAACUUGCGAAAAUCUUCUAUCUUCUUUGGUAAGGGCUGCUCUGCGGAGACGACGGAACGGUUGAAGCAGGUAGUGGGAAUUGAGUCUGAAGCUUUGAGUGAAAAGUACCUUGGCCUUCCAACACAGGUUGGGAGAUCAAAGGAGGGGACUUUUAAGUAUGUGACUGAAAGUUCCAAAUGA